AUUGAACGCUGGCGGCAUGCCUUACACAUGCAAGUCGAACGGCAGCAUGAUCUAGCUUGCUAGAUUGAUGGCGAGUGGCGAACGGGUGAGUAAUACAUCGGAACGUGCCCUGUAGUGGGGGAUAACUAGUCGAAAGAUUAGCUAAUACCGCAUACGACCUGAGGGUGAAAGUGGGGGACCGCAAGGCCUCAUGCUAUAGGAGCGGCCGAUGUCUGAUUAGCUAGUUGGUGAGGUAAAGGCUCACCAAGGCGACGAUCAGUAGCUGGUCUGAGAGGACGAUCAGCCACACUGGGGCUGAGACACGGCCCAGACUCCUACGGGAGGCAGCAGUGGGGAAUUUUGGACAAAGGGCGAAAGCCUGAUCCAGCAAUGCCGCGUGUGUGAAGAAGGCCUUCGGGUUGUAAAGCACUUUUGUCCGGAAAGAAAUGGCUCUGGUUAAUACCUGGGGUCGAUGACGGUACCGGAAGAAUAAGGACCGGCUAACUACGUG
rnacentral:rRNA from 1 species